CGCUGAGGGUACGAAGGGCUGGGAGCGGAGUUCUGCUCUGAGGUCACAGUUUCAAUGGGCUGUAAGCACGGGGCUGGUGCAGGCUGAGCCAUGUUUCCCCUCUGGAGCAGCAGAGGCACAGCACAGGGAACUCCGAGGUUUCUUCUUGAGCUGCUUAAUCUAAAUACACCGUGAGUCACUCCGUAUGUAUUGGCUCUGUGCAGAUUGGCACUGAGAGAAUGUAAUUCCUCUGGGACCAGAGCAUAAAGCACCCGAAACUAGAGAUCGGUUUCUCUGAAACUGGAGGUACGAGAUAAAGUUCCAUCACAACCACAAACAUUUUUUUGUGGACUAGUGUUCCGGUAUUUUAAAUGCAAAAACAUCCCCUGUCUAAAUGGUUCCAGGAUUUCAUGAACUUCUUGUCAGUUCAGGGGUCAAAUCAGGUUGCCUCAAAAAGUAUAAAGAAAAAAGUAUAGAGAUUUUAUUAUUUAAUGGGGGUUUUAUUAUCUGAAUUUUUGUGGUGUUAAAGCUCAGGAUUAUACAGCCUCUGGUUGUCUCAAAUUUUGAGGAAGACACAGAAUUUUGGAAACUGUUCAUAUAGCAGCAACUAAAAGAACAAAAUUCUUGAAAACCUGGAAGUUUCAUGGAUUACUUCUCCAAAGUGGUAAAAGAAGAUCCAAGGCUCAAAGAUUUAUAUUUAUGAACUUUGAGGUCACAGGGAAGUUUUUAAAUGAUCGUGUUUAGCCUGUGUAGCCCAGGUCACAGAAUCAGAGUGAGACCUGUAUUAAUGCUGUAACUUCUGCUUGAGGCCAUGCCAUGUUAACAGUCGCUGUUAAAUGUUAAAGGGCAUUUCAUUUUCAGUUUCACUUUUUAGCUUAGCUCUUUGUCAAUGGAUCAUGUUGCAUUGGUUCUUGCUUGAACAGACUUUUUACUAUUAAAAGAUUUCUCUCUGCAGAGUUCAAGAUUAUUAAUCUCUAUUUCUAAAAGAUUAUACAACUCAUAUUUUUAAAACUCCUUUCCUGAUGACUUUUGUGCUUCUUUUCUCAAAAAUUUCAAAACUUUCUGGAAUUAGUUUUGAAUUAGGAACACCAAAACCAAAGCUAUAUUAUUGCUGAAUGCUCAGUGGUAAAUCACAUUGCUGUUUCUGACUGAUAUCCCCACCUAAUUAAAACAGAGACAGACAGAUACAUGAAUCAUUCAGAAAGGGUGCAGUGUUUAAUUAGUUAUCCGCUGCAACACAAUUUUCUUAGGGGUUAUUAUUACUUCCAACAUGACAAUCCUACAUCUUACAUUGCUUGACCUAUGACUAUGGCCAGGCAUUUGACCAUAUUAUAAGAAAAUUACAAAUGAACCAAGGCUAUUAAGCAAUUCAGGUCACCCAUAGUUAAUUAAUCUGUAUCAUGAUCAUCUUCUGAUUUCUCUGCUAUCUGCAAUGAUAAAUACUGGAUGAUUCUUGUUCAUAAUUAAUGUAGCACUCAAAGCAAAGCUAUGGUGAAGUUAUUAUCAAAACAGAACUGCAAGAUGAAAGGUACUAAUGUUAAUCUGGUAAAAUCUCAAGAACCCUGGAAGCAGGAAACCUGCUAUAUGGGGUCACUGGUAAGAGACAGAAUCAUUCACAUAGAGAAAAAUUCCUCUCUCCUAAAAGAAAUUCAUGUAGUUGAGUAAUUUUCUUCCUAAAAAAAUUGUCAACUGAGGAAGAAAUGCCAGUUUUUAAUAUGUGUUUUCUCUUUGCAUGAUCACAAAUACAGUAAAUGUUUGUUUGUUAACUCUCUGAGGUGGUACUGGCUGCUGAAUGCAGAAAAAACUGCAGUUCUUGAUAUGUCUUCAGCAUGGGAAAGGCUUUAUCAGACCUACAGGGCCACAUCUGAAUAAUUAAAGUCUCUUGGCAUAGAAUCUGAUUUAUCUUCCAAAUACAGAGUUUAUGUUUUAGCCCGACUGUUUAGGGGAAGAAAAUAGUUUCACCAGUUGUGUUUCUUUGAUGUGGUCUUGCUUAUAAAAUAACUGAGUGACAUUUUGAGUUGUAGACACCUCCACUGCAAACACCUCACUCCUGAGGGAUGUGGGCCAGAUGAAGAGUCCGGACUCUGAAUUUCAGGAGAGCAGAUUUGCAGCUCUGUAAAGAAUUAGUGAAUGGCACCCCCUGGGAAACUGCUCUCAAGGAACUGAAAAGAGCUGGCAGCUCUCUGAGGACAAAAUCCUCUGAGUGCAAGAGCGUUUAAUUCCCACGUGUAAGAAAUGAAGCAAGGAAGGAAGGAGAAUGGCAUGGGUCAGUCAGGAGCUCCUGGUCCACCUGAAGUGUAAGAAGGAAAUGCACAAGCAGUAGAACAAGAGACAAGUAUCCUGGGAAGAAUACAGGGACACUGACGGGAUGUGUAGAGAUGGGAUCAGGAAAGCCAAAGCCACAACUGAAGCUGAGUUUUUCAAGGCAUUUUACAGGAUCAAUCCCACACAACUCAUUGUCCCGUUGCAACCUGAGACUGGAAAUGCCUGAGGGCGGGAGGCGUUUCUCCGAGUGGAGCUCAGUCAUCCUGCAGAGCGGGGCACCGGUCCAAGGCUGCGGAAACAGCACAACAAUAACCAACUGCCUUCUGGUUAAGAAAAACAAAAACCCAAUAACAAGGCAGUACUAAAGGCUGGCAAACCAGAGUUACUGCAAACUUAAGGACUGCUUGGUUUCACAUCCAAAGAAGCAGGAAAAAAAUUACUUCUGGUAGCACUGAAAGGAAUAAGGAAAGUACAAGCCCGGAAAAAGGCUGCACACAUUUACUGCUAAAACUGACGAGGAAAAAAUUCCACCCUAGAAGUCAUCUGGCAUCCAGAGCUUAGUCUGCCAAUGGAAUGACUAAGAAGAUGAUUAUGGAAGGUUUUUGCACCUUUUUGUUUUGACUGCUAACAAUUACUAAGACUGGCAAAUGACUCUACCUGAGAGGUUAGCUCAAAGUUUAUAGUUCAGAUGAACAAAAACUAACAAACUGGAUUUUCCUUCUCUGACAGUCCACUCAUGUUUAGUAGUACCAGCAGCAUUUUCUGCAUGAUGCACAGUAAUGCUGUUAUUUGGUUCCUCUUGUUUAGAAAUAAAAUAAUUCUAUCUGCA